rnacentral:rRNA from 1 species
UACGAAGGGGGCUAGCGUUGCUCGGAAUCACUGGGCGUAAAGCGCACGUAGGCGGCUUCUUAAGUCAGGGGUGAAAUCCUGGAGCUCAACUCCAGAACUGCCUUUGAUACUGGGAAGCUUCGAGUCCGGAAGAGGUGAGUGGAACUGCGAGUGUAGAGGUGAAAUUCGUAGAUAUUCGCAAGAACACCAGUGGCGAAGGCGGCUCACUGGUCCGGUACUGACGCUGGGGUGCGAAAGCGUGGGGAGCAAACAGG